AUUUGCUUUUUUACUGAAGCAGAUUGAUAAAAUUCCCUGGAACUGGGCACUGUCAGGAAUUCGCACGCAGAAAAGAAACAAGAUCUGUCUUCUGUUUUCCUGUUAAUUCAAGGAAAAGCCCACAAGACUCUUCCAGGAUGGCCAAAAGCAUCUCUCUGCUUGUCUCCUCUCCCUCUGAGCUUUGCAGGUUGAAUUUUCCCAUUGAUGUGUCAGCCCAAGUGCUCAAAAACUCAUCGCAUCGUUACCCAACCUCCGAAAUGAGCCACGGUGCCGGCUACCAGCCUUCUUGGGAAAAUACCUCUGGCUGCCUUAUUUCCAUCUGAAUUCCCUCCAUCCCACGGAUAUUAGAUUUCCAGCGAUCUCAAAUGAUGCCGGUGAGGGGGAGCUUGUCCUGGCACGUCAGGAAGCAAACCACGCAGGCACCGGGCACACGGCCGGGGUGAGUCCCAGGGAUGGAGAUGAUGCCACGUGCCGUCAUCCCACGUCACGGAGGUGUCCCCCUCCAGCUUCGUGGGCUGCAGGGGGAUGCACAACCACAACUAGACACCGGAGAAUCCACACCAGGAAACCUUGACCAUUUUUCUUUGAAGAUUAUCAACAAAAGGGCCAGAGCGGUGCUCAUUUUCUGCUACUGGUUUAAAAACUAUAAGCUAAAAAAAGUGGAGAAAGACAUUUCAGAAGUCUGUGCCCAAGACUGGGGAAUUCACGAGAAACGUCAAAAUCACAGAAAUAAAUAUAACUUUUUCACGUUUUUAACUGAAAAACAUUUACAAUGGAAUGGCUGUGCCGGGGGUGGGAAGCAGGAGAGGACGUGAUGCCCAGCGCAAUCAUUGCAGGACGCAUCGGCACGGCUGGCACAGAGGGGCUGCGACACCUCCCAAAUUAUCUAUCCAUCGAGUCAAUUAAAAGCAAUAAAUAUUAUUCUUGUUCUCUAA